rnacentral:tRNA from 1 species
GGAGGUGCAGCUCAGUGGUAGAGCACUUGCCUAGCGUGCAUGAGGCCCUGGGUUCCACUCCCAGCACCGCCC